AACUCUGGACCCACUGUCUCAUACAAUGCAUCUGAUAAUUGUGUGAAAGUGAGGCCAGUGUGGU
rnacentral:pre_miRNA from 1 species